UAAAAAGCCACCACAUCCACUGCUGCAGUUUUCCCAGAAGAAACCAGAUACGGUUUGAAGUAGAACCUCCUCAACAGGUAAGAGCUACAGCAACUCAAAGCUAACAGAAGCAAGAUCAGAAUGAGGUUCAACGUCUCUACGAAAAAUUAUGAAUAGCACAAAAAAAUGAUUCGAAAUGAAGGCAUGGGUGAAACACGCUGUGCUUCCACACAGACAGGGGUGAUAUACUAAGACUGUGUGACAGAAGCAAGUCCUGCUGUUGUCAUGGAGACUGAAAAAAAUUAGUAACUUCCCUUAAGAACAAAAAUAAAGCUGUUUGAAAUUACUCCUAUCCUCCUUAUAAGUCCCAUCCAGUGUUUGUUUCUCUGAUACUUCUGUUACACCUUGAUGAAAUAAGUAAGAGUAAAUUGUAUCUUAUAUUUUAUCUCUAAACGUAUACGCUUAUUUUACUAGGCCCAUUCUAAUUAUAAAUAAUAGAAAUAUCCUACGUACAUUUGUAGUUAUGAACUCUCAGGAGGCUGCGAUCUUGCUUCAUGAGAGCUUUUAAGAAUUAUAUAGCAGCAGCUACCUUGCACAGGGGAAUCCACAGUUGGGAAUCUGGCCCUAUGCUCCUUACACAGAGUUUUGAGGGGAUUUGAGGGACUCAGAAAGAAAUCUGCUGCAGGCAAUUCACUCAGUGAGGGUGACACUAAAACUAGAUACCAUGAAAAACUAAAGGAAGGGAUGCAUCUUUUCAAUUCCUUCCUCCAAUCCAUCUUGAAGAUACCUACUUCUCAGCUUCCGGAAGAUGCUUGGGAUAUUUUUUGAGUCACAGCAUGGAGCUUUCACCUGCCAUGUGAGAUCUGUGACAUUUGUCUUUUUUUUCAAGUCACAGCUAGAGAGGAGGUGGUUUCUAUUCCCUUUUUUGUCUUAUCUAAGAGAUUAGUGAGGAUACACCCCAGGAACAGUGUUCAUCCACUUUAAUUAAUAUAUAAAUGACAUCAAGGUCAACUAGAAGAAGAAUGUGGGUCUGCAAGUUUAAGGUGCUGUACAGAUGUCACAGGAUGCAGCUGGUCGAAGGAGAAAGAAUGAAAAGUACCAUAAAGAAAAAGGAGAAAAAGAGGCAUAAAAAGGUAAUUAGAAAAAAGAGAGAAAAGAAGAAUGUGAACAGGAGCAGAUUCAGGUGAGCUAACAUACAAGCAGACAAGCAGAAAAAAAAAAAAAAGAAAGAGAGAAU
rnacentral:lncRNA from 1 species